AGCUUCCUGAAGUUUACCACAGGCUGUGUUCUUUACACCGACAGUAGAGAAAAAAAGGCACAGUAAACCUAUUCCAUAUACACCCCAGUCCAGGUCCUUUGCCUGGUCUUUAUUGUGAAUGGGGUACAUGA